ACCCUAUUCUAUUUUCUGAACCAGCAAAUAACUCAUCCUAUCUCCAACAAUUUCAACGAAUGACAGAGAUCCCCAUUUCUGUUUUGGUCAGGCGCAAUCCCCCUGUCUCUCCUUCAUCCACAUCUCUUUUUUUUUUUAAUUCGAUCAACAAGAAUUCAAAUAUACUUUUGAAAUCUCUUAUGAAUUCAGCCCAAAGUUGCAAAAUCAGAAGAUAAAUAACAGGCCUUGCAUUCAUUUUUGUGGAUGCCUUUUGCCCCGCACCUGAAACCACUGUUUUAUGCUCGUCUGAAGAAAGUUUUGAGGAGGAACUUCGUGUAGGCGUCGGAAUCAAUCUCUCGUUCACUGCCCUGCAACAGCCAGCGAGACUUGAUCAUUAAUGAGGUAUGUGAUGAACAAGCUGAUGAGGUCGCGGAUACAGCAGAUUUGAGGUACCUCUAUUUCUUUAACAGGAUUAAUCCAUUUUAUCUUGGGAGAAAUUAAUCCAUAACCUCAGGUACAGUGAGGGGAUUAAAUUUAUUAAGGACGCACAGUAGUUUCUGUGGACUCGAAUUACUUCUUGUAAAUUAUUUUUUGUUUCAUCUUAUUCCGUUUCUGCCGUUUUAGGCUAACCUUAUAAUACAGGUUGUAUAACAAUUAUAUACUCUGGCUAUUUCAUGUCAUAGUUUUCUAAGAGAAGAGACUAUAUGUCUUAGGAAGAUGUAAUAGAAUUUAUCUUCUAUGGGAUAACCCAUUUUCCAUUACAUCAAAAUAAAAUUAUUAUAAUCAAA